UCAUUUUCUCUCUCUAUCCCCCUCUCCCCCUUUUGCGAUGAGAACAAAGAACACCGAGUUUCCUCACCUUUCCAUCAGAACAUAUUUAAUCGCUGCUGCUUGGAGGCAAAGGAAACUUUUCACAAAACAAAGGCACAUGGUAUUUCAUCUGCUGCUUCAAGGGAAAGUUGAAGGCAGAAGACAAGAAGGAAAAGUGACUCCAUCAAGGAAGCCGCAGCCUUGGACUUAGAAGAGCUGAGCGGGGCAGCUGUGCUGGGAGACUUUGGCGACUUUCUUUCACAGGGUCACAAUCGGCUGCAGCAACGAAUACAAAUAUUUGGCUCAGCUGCCCUUGGAAUACUGUAUUCACUGCACCUGCAAAAGGAAAUCACAGAGUUGGAAGAAUUAUAGGGAAGGGAAGGAAAAGCGACCACGAGGUUGCAGCAACUCCACUAUCAGGACAGGAGCUGUGCUUGUUUAGUAUGAUGGCUCUAUGCUGUCCCUGGUAUCAGAAGCAGUAUGCUCAGGUGCACCAGUUGCUGGGAGGAGCUGUUGCACUCAUAUCCUUCCUGUGCCAUCCUGUGAGCAACUGGUUGGCCAUGGGUAAACAGAGGUGCCUAGGACUAGCUGGCCCAGCGAUCAGCAUGGCUUCUCUCAGCUUCUCUGAUGUUCUUAGGCAGUAAAAGGUGCCAGCAUGUUUUAAGAUUAAACACACACACACCAGAUCAGCAGUGAGAUUAAGCUUUCUGACCCCACCUCUCUCAAAGAAAACAGUGCUGUUGAGUUCAUUUUUAGAUAGUAUUUUAAAUCACCAUCCAUCCUUGAAGAUAGCUGGACAGCAUGUGCAUCUGAUUAAAAUAAUAACCGAUACAAUAAAAAUACCCAGACAAAAUCAUUCACUAUAUACUUUGCUUUUGAUGUUUCUGCAGGUAGGAUAGACCAUUGCAGAAUAAAUGAGCAAGAGCUGCAGAACAGGAUUUUGCAAGUAGACUGGGAAAGGGUGGAGACGUCUUCCGGCGCAUCAUCCGAAUGCAAGAGUAUUGUCGUGAGCCUCGGGGAAACUUAGGUCAACCUGGGGACUGCCAACCCCUGAGUGAGACUGUUCUCAAUUAAGACGGGAUCUCUUUAGCAACACUAGUUAACAGCACUGCAUAAAAUGCAAACAAAAUAUGGAGAAGUGUUUACCAUAGCUGAAUUAUCUCCUGGGAGAUUUAGUGGCUUAUUAAAAAUUAUUGGCCUUUA